CUGUGAGUUAGCCUUGCUCCUUGUGAUGGCUAUUAUUAAGUGUCAGCUUGAUUGGACUGAAGGAUACAAAGUAUUGUUUCUGGGUGUAUCUAGGUGUUUCUAGUGUGGCAGAAGAGGUUAACAUUUGAGUCAGUGGACUGGGAGAGGAAGGCCCACCCUCAAGAAGACUCACCCUCAUUGUGGGUCUUGGCAUCAUCCAAUCAGCUGCCAGUAUGGCUAGAAAAAAGCAGGGAGAAGAAGAUGGAAGAAGCUGACUUGCUGAGUCUUUCGGCCUCCAUCUUUCUCCCAUGCUGGAUGCUUCCUGCCCUCGAUCAUCAGACUCCAAGUUCUUUGGCUUUGGAACUCUUGGACUUACACCUGUGGUUUCCCAGGGGCACUUAGGCCUUCAGUCACAGACUGAAGGCUCCACUGUCGGCUUCCCUACUUUUGAGGUUUUGGGACUCGGACUGAGCCACUACUGGCUUCCUUGCUCCACAGCUUGCAGACAGCCUAUAAUGGGACUUCACCGUGAGAUCGUAUGGAGUCUCACUCUGUCACCCCAGCUGGAGUGCAGUGGCAUGAUCUUGGCUCACCGGCAUGAUCUUGGCUAACCUCCACCUCCCAGGUUCAAGUGAUUCUCCUGCUUCAGCCUCCUGAGUAGCUGGGAUUACAGGAUGAAGAACCGUCUAUAGAAAGCGACACAUGAAACCAUUUUCAAACGACUUUAAUCAUGUUUUGCUGCCCAAAUACUGUACAUGCAGAAGCCAUGUGAAGAAUUUUCUCCUCAAGGAAAUUGGCAAGAACAUUGUACGAAACAGCUGGCAGUCCCUCCCAGCUGUACACCUGCCACCCGGGAACCACAACAAGUUAGGAAAGAUGCCGCACAUAGAAAAUGUAUAGAGCACAGAUAUAAAAGGCUAAUUGCUUCUUAUCUAAACAGUGUGCUUGUCAGUCCCUAUCAGCUAUCUCUCUCUUUGCAAGAUGCAUUUGGAAAGUCUAAAAAAAGGGGUUCUUGCCUUCUGUGAGUUUACAUGCUAAAGGAGUUGGUUGAGCUAUCAGGCCCACUCUCCUUAAGGAAGCAGCUGCCCUGCCUUCUGAGAUGAUGUCUGGUUAAAGACACUCUGGAGGGAGGAGUGGUCUUAAGAAGCAAAAUACUUUGAAAGGAAAUCAGUUCCCUCUCUCCUCCCAUUGGAGAGCAUUUCCUUUAGAAUUCUCAGAUCUUCAACUCUCCCGGUGAUGUCAUCCCAGAAGCAGAAAUGAGGACAGACCCAGCCUCAUCUGCGGUGGGGACACUGACCUACUCAGGAUGGAGCUGAGAUUGCGACAUCACACCAGCACCUUGAAAACUAUCCAUUGUAGACGACCCUUAAUUAUGUCUCAUCAUCACACAAGAGUAAAAGAGGGAGGACAAACCACGAAGAGAGGAAAGCAGAGUCUGUUAGGAUUCCCAGAGUUCUUGUAUGAGGCAGCAUUUGGAUGUAGACCAGCUGAGGGCCUGCACCCAGCCUGGGCAUCAGGGGCUGGAGGAAACCAGCCCAUGGAGACGGGAACCAGGUGCACCAGGCUCGCAACCCUCAUGUGCUCUGGAUCAGAGACUUCCAAUUAAAACCAGGAGGGAACUAUGGAGAGAGCAGCUAAUGCUCUGAUUUUGCAGAUGAGGAAGCUGAGGCCCAGAAAAGUGAGGAGCCUUGCCCAAGGUCACAGUUUCUGGCAAAACUGUACAGAACAGCCUUUGAUUCCCUCUAGCCAGCUGUCUCUGUCCAGGUCACUGGCCAAUGAGGUGGAUGCUUGGUUGCCCCUGGAAUUCCCAGGCCCCAUUCUGUUAGCCAAGCUGACUGGAACCCAGGCUCAGGGACCCUUCCUAGCAUCAGUGUCAACUCCUCGGGAGGCCCAAGGCCCUGUCCUUUUUGGCCAAGUUUCCAGCCAGAGCCCUGGAAGAGUUUCUCAAAGCAGAAACACUCAUGCUUUUCGGCAAGCACCUGCCCCAAGCCAGUCUAGGCCCCUGAGAGAAUGCAACUUUCUCUCACUGACGUGGCUUCCCUCACAGGCACAGCCAUGCUGGGCCCACACAAGCCCAAGCUCAGGGUUUGGGGGAGGGGAGGGAGGGAGAGUUGCUUUGCUACAUGGAAAGAUUAAGCCCUUUAUCAGAGAACAAGGCCCCGCCAUUGGGCACACCAACAUCUGAGCCACGUUUGUGCAACUCAGCCAGCAGAGUUGGUGCCCAAGGAGGCCAAGUUGCUCUCUUUGGCAUCACUGACAUUGCUCUGAGAUGCUCAGGCACACUUUCAAAAGAACCCUUUCCCAGCCAGACCAGGCCAGUCCAGCCCCCAUCAGGCCUCACCUGAUUGUGCGGGCUUCCCCUGCUCCUCAAUCAUGCUUGUUUUGUUUCACCCCAACCUCUUCUGACCUGAGUGAAAAGAUUGAGGGAGAAGGCAGGGGGGAUGGGUCCACAUUUUCAUCUCCUCCCUGACCACUCAGUGAAAGACAGUCCAGUAGAAGAAGCAGCAUUUUAAAGAAUCUCUUUACGUGUCAGGAUACUGGAGAAGAAAACUCUGGGGAGUGGAAGAGAAAGGUAGGAGGAGGCAGGGAAGCAGGCCUCUUCUUUUCCAUCUCCCUGCAGCCACUGCAGAAACACUGCUGGACAACCUUCCGGCCCUGAAUGAUGUGCCAUCUCUCCAGCCAGGUGGAGAGCAACUCGUCUACAACAUCAAGCAAAGGCAGCAAUUUCUUGCACAGAGUUUGCACAGUGCUAGAGGCAAUCAGAGAGACACAAAAGAGGAGCAUCACUAAAGCCCUAUUGCUUUCUGGGCUGAGGAAGAUGGGGAA